rnacentral:lncRNA from 1 species
GGUCUGAGGUGGUAAUCAACAAAUUCUGAAAUUUUUUCGGUGGGAUGGCCAUUAGCUGAUACUAUAGGUCUCCCUGGAAUCCCUUCUUUGUGGAGUUUUGGAAGUAAGUAAAAUCGACCGGCUGUGCACGUUUCGUCUGGGCGUAGAUAAUCGUACGUAUCGUCAUCAAUUUGUUUAUCUUUAUUCAUUUCUGAGAGGACGUCAUUAAUUUUUUUGCUGAUUUCUUUGGUUGGAUCACAUGUUAGUUCUUU